GGUGAACGCUGGCGGCGUGCUUAACACAUGCAAGUCGAACGGAGUUAUUUGGAAGCUUGCUUUUGAAUAACUUAGUGGCGGACGGGUGAGUAACGCGUGGGUGACCUGCCUUAUACUGGGGGAUAACACUUAGAAAUAGGUGCUAAUACCGCAUAAGCGCACAGUUCUUCAUGGAACAGUGUGAAAACUCCGGUGGUAUAAGAUGGACCCGCGUCUGAUUAGCUGGUUGGUGAGGUAACGGCUCACCAAGGCGACGAUCAGUAGCCGGCCUGAGAGGGUGAACGGCCACAUUGGGACUGAGACACGGCCCAA
rnacentral:rRNA from 1 species